rnacentral:rRNA from 1 species
ACGGCUCAGUAACACGUCAAUAAUUUGCCCUUAAGUCUGGGAUAACCUCGGGAAACUGAGGCUAAAACUGGAUAGGUGAAGAAUACUGGAAUGUUUUUUCACUUAAAAGCAAUGCUUAAGGAUAAGUUGGCGGCUGAUUGGGUUGUUGGUAGUGUAAAGGACUACCAAGCCGACGAUCAGUACGGGCCGUGAGAGCGGGAGCCCGGAGAAGGGUACUUAGACACUGACCCUAGCCCUACGGGGUGCAGCAGCCGCGAAACCUUUACACUGUACGCAAGUGCGAUAAGGGAGCUCUCAGUGCUCAUGCAUAGCAUGGGCUUUUGCCAAGUGUAAAUAGCUUGGAGAAUAAGUGGUGGGUAAGACGGGUGCCAGCCGCCGCGGUAACACCUGCGCCACGAGUGGCAAUCGCGUUUAUUGGGCCUAAAGCGUUCGUAGCUGGAUUAAGAAGUCUCAUGUGGAAUCGUUGCGCUUAACAAAACGACGUGCUUGAGAAACCAUUAAUCUUGGGACCGGGAGGAGUUAGGGGUAUUUCUGAGGGAGCGGUAAAAUGCUAUAAUCUCAGGAGGACCACCUGUGGCGAAGGCGCCUAGCUAGAACGGGUCCGACAGUGAGGAACGAAAGCUAGGGGAGCAAAACGGACUAGAUACCCGAGUAGUCCUAGCCGUAAACGCUGUGAACUAGAUGUUGCAUAUUCUACGUGAAUGUGCAGUGUCGGAGCGAAGGCGUUAAGUUCACCGCCUGGGAAGUACGGUCGCAAGGCUGAAACUUAAAGGAAUUGGCGGGGGAGCAC